CCCCAGACUCCUACGGGAGGCAGCAGUGGGGAAUAUUGCGCAAUGGGGGAAACCCUGAUGCAGCGACGCCGCGUGAGCGAUGAAGUAUUUCGGUAUGUAAAGCUCUAUCAGCAGGGAAGAAGAUGACGGUACCUGACUAAGAAGCCCCGGCUAACUACGUGCCAGCAGCCGCGGUAAUACGUAGGGGGCAAGCGUUAUCCGGAUUUACUGGGUGUAAAGGGAGCGUAGACGGCGGCGCAAGCCAGAUGUGAAAGCCCGGGGCUCAACUCCGGGACUGCAUUUGGAACUGUGUGGCUGGAGUGUCGGAGAGGCAGGCGGAAUUCCUAGUGUAGCGGUGAAAUGCGUAGAUAUUAGGAGGAACACCAGUGGCGAAGGCGGCCUGCUGGACGAUGACUGACGUUGAGGCUCGAAAGCGUGGGGAGCAAACAGGAUUAGAUACCCCCGUAAA
rnacentral:rRNA from 1 species